UGUUUAAGGAGCAGACAGUGCAUGAGGGACAGUGAAGGGUGAGGAGGUCUGUUAAAUAAGAUAGUGAAUUGCCGUGCAGACAGUGGAAGGUCAGCAGAGAGAUUUUGUAGGUGAUCCACACAAAGAUGAUGAGCCAGUAAAGUGAACGGAGAACGGGAGUAAUAUGUUAAUGUUUACCCUUUCUCAUCAGGAUCCUGGCAGCGCUGUUCUGAACAUACUGUAAUCUCUGUAUGUUCUUGCCAGGAAUCCUGAUGAGAAAUGUGUUGCAAUAGUCCAAUCUGAAGGAGAUAAAGACAUGGGCUGGCUUUUCUGCAUUAGAGAGGGAGAGUGUGGGCCAGAGUUUUGCAAUGUUUUGGAGGUGGACAACUGAGAUUUUGCAGAUGUGCUAGAUAUGGAUUUACAAGUUUUUAAGAUGGAGGACAUUUUGCUGCAUCCAUGCAGACAGGUUAUAAAUGUGGAAAGAGAGGAGAACUGGAAAGUCGAAGAUGAUGAAGAUGGAGGGGGUGGCGUCUUAAACUCAGAAUACUUCAACCUCAGAAUGACUGGAUACAGGUGUUUUACCUGAACCUGACUUUGCCUUCUGCAUAGAACCCUGCCUGGAUUACCAUCUUCUGGAAAGAAGCUAUCCAGCUCCAUGAACAAAGACUCAAGCCUCUUAUUACUUCGUUGGAUCACACCGGCUGGCAGCCUCCUGAUUCCUUCGUUCCUUGGAUCUCCUUCUACGAACCCUGUCCACCCUCCUCCAUCCACUGCACCAACGUCAGAAACUCUUGGACCUACUAAACAUCCUGGCACACCAGUAUUCACCAUCUCGUGUCUCAAGGGUAAACAACCCCUUGGUCCCUCCACCCCCUCUGGCGGAUCUCUCCAUCAAUCCAUUGGUAUCCCGGUUCCAGUUCCCUGCACAUUUCAUUACACUGUAAAUAAACUCAUUACUGUUAAACUCAGUCUCCUGAAUUGCUUUCUGCAUGUGGGUCAAAUCUGUUCGAAACAAUAUGACAGAAACCUACUGUUAAGUAUACUCUCAACAUUUGAUUUUCUUUGUAUUUUUCUAUCUAUAUUUUUGUUCACUGUUGACAUUGUACAUAAUGGCCCAGCAUAAUGGCCCAGCAAAAGAUAUAACCAACAGGAUUUACCGUGACACAACUUUAAACCACUCAGAAACGCAUACAUGAACUUGGACCCCCCUCACAUUCCUCCUCGAACUCAGUGAGGUGUGAUGGUAAAGUUUAAAGCCUCCCUUGUUCCUGACCAACCUGCCGAGCACAACUCCCAGUCGCUUUGUUC